rnacentral:lncRNA from 1 species
GUAUGUGUAAAGAUAAGUUCAGCACAGCCCAAAUAUCAUAUAUAAUUUUUUUUUAAAGAUGGAGGCCCUAUUGAUUUAGAGGCCUAAAGCCCAAGCCUCAAAAUACUUGGUCUUGGGCCGGCCAUGUAGUAGUCAAAGAUGCCAAAGCCGCAUGCCCAAGUGCAUCCCAGCGCAGAAAAACCACCUUGCGCGCAGAAAGGCGUAAAAAGAACUGAUAAAAACAGGCCAAAAUCUGCAACAGAAAAAACUGUCUGAACCACAGCCUAAACUAGUCUGAAACAAUCUAAACUAGUGUAAACCAGCCUAAAACGUGUCUAAAACAGUUUUAAAACAGCCUGAAAUACGCAUGCGCCUUGCUAGUCUGGGGUGCACGCUUUUUAAGCGACUUGUGCCUAAAGACAAGCUCACCCUUCACACCUUGAGUGCGCCUUGAGCCUUUGAACAGCACUACCAUGGGUUCAUGGUUUGUUUUAGAGUCUAGGAGAGGGCUGGCUUGGUUUGUAUUCUCUUUUCUUUAUUAUUGUUUUUUUUGGCGGGCACCGGCUAUUAUCCAAAACAAAUGACAGUAAGUUCCGGUUUUUAGCUCCAAAAGAUAUUAUAUAAUCGAUACCAGUUCCAAUAAUUGAUGUAUUGAAAUCCUUUGUAUUUUUAAUUUAAAGCACCAUCUAACUACAUACAUCCUACAAUAUAUUAUCUUAAUCCCAACCAACAACUUGUCUACUAGAGUGUUUUUGUUUUUUUUUUUUUUCUGCACCUUUCAGUGAAAUGUUACUUUUAGACUUGCAAUCAAUUGAAAUUUUUCCAAUUUUCUUAGAUUCACCGUUUGGACGAAAAUGACAAAAAUCCAAAAGUGAAAGACAAUAUGGUACAAUGAAAAAGUUGUUUUGGAUGAAACUGGCAAACAUAACCAAACCUCAGGGACUAUUUUGGCAAUUUACUCUUUAGAGUAAAUUAACGAGUCCUUUAUAUAUUAUAAAAUGCUAAAACAACAAAUUACAAACAAACGGCAAGAAAAGGUAAACAAUUACAAACAAACGGCAGGUGGUAAAGGCAACAAAAUGCGCCGCAACCCCUUUUGAAUUUGUUAAGGGUCAAGAAAUUACAUGAAUUUCUUACAGACGUUACAAAAACCAUAUCUAGACUUGUAGUUCCUCGGAUCAUAUGAAAUUAAUUCCUCAAUUUACAAUCGUGUCAAUAUCCAAAUUUGUUGUAUCUGUAGUCUGUACUGUAUUCAUUUGCAUUAUUAUUAGUUCAAUAAACUUUUAUGUGGCUGACUGAAUAUAGUAUAGUAAUUCAUCAAUUUACAAUUGUAGUGGUAUAUAAAGGCAGAUCAUGUAAUCUAAUCUGCAUUAUUAUUAGUUGAAAAAAUGAAAGAAACUUGCUUUUUUUUGCGUUGAAAAAGGUCAAGUGUGUGUGACCUAGAACCAUCACAUCCAAUCCAUAGGGUUUUAUUUUAAGGGUGCUACUUUCUACACCCCCUAUUUACUUUUUUCACCCCCUCCUCUCACAUACUUACAGGUGGGGCCUGCGUGGGACCGACAGUUUUCCUCUCACAAGGGGGUGUAAUCAGGAAGGAGGGGGUGUGUAUAGAAUGGGCCUAUUUUAAUACCUUAAACCGUACAACACAAAUAGCAUCCAUCAUAUUGGCGGCCAUACAUAAUAAAUAGUAACAAAAUGUUCAAAAAAAAAAAAAAAACAGAAGAAGAAGACCUGUAACAAUGGCGGUGAGUCCAGAUGCGUCAAUUCCAUGGGUAACCUGCUCGGCGGUUGAAUAUUGUGAGAAUCCAGAAGGUCCUGGUCUUCCAAACAGCCACAUAUUUUUGGUAUCGAAAUGUGAAGGGAUUUGGUAGCUUUUGAUGCUGGAGAAAGUAGAGCGAUUGUGAGUGUGAUUUGAGCAGGUAGGUAGGUUAAUGGAGUUUUCGCUACCUUAUC